rnacentral:rRNA from 1 species
CAUUGGAUCCAGACUUUGAUUCUGGCUCAGGAUGAACGCUAGCUACAGGCUUAACACAUGCAAGUCGAGGGGCAGCAUGGACCCAGCUUUGCUGGGUUUGAUGGCGACCGGCGCACGGGUGAGUAACGCGUAUCCAACCUGCCCUUUACUCCGGGAUAGUCUCCUGAAAGGGAGUUUAAUACCGGAUGUGUUUGUCUUUCCGCAUGGGAGCGACAAAUAAAGAUUAAUUGGUAAAGGAUGGGGAUGCGUCCCAUUAGCUUGUUGGCGGGGUAACGGCCCACCAAGGCGACGAUGGGUAGGGGUUCUGAGAGGAAGGUCCCCCACAUUGGAACUGAGACACGGUCCAAACUCCUACGGGAGGCAGCAGUGAGGAAUAUUGGUCAAUGGGCGGGAGCCUGAACCAGCCAAGUAGCGUGAAGGACGACGGCCCUACGGGUUGUAAACUUCUUUUAUAAGGGAAUGAAGUUCGCCACGUGUGGUGUUUUGUAUGUACCUUAUGAAUAAGCAUCGGCUAAUUCCGUGCCAGCAGCCGCGGUAAUACGGAAGAUGCGAGCGUUAUCCGGAUUUAUUGGGUUCAAAGGGAGCGUAGGCGGGCUUUUAAGUCAGCGGUCAAAUGUCGUGGCUCAACCAUGUCAAGCCGUUGAAACUGUAAGCCUUGAGUCUGCACAGGGCACAUGGAAUUCGUGGUGUAGCGGUGAAAUGCUUAGAUAUCACGAAGAACUCCGAUCGCGAAGGCAUUGUGCCGGGGCAUAACUGACGCUGAGGCUCGAAAGUGCGGGUAUCAAACAGGAUUAGAUACCCUGGUAGUCCGCACGGUAAACGAUGAAUGCUCGCUAUGGGCGAUAUAUUGUCCGUGGCCAAGCGAAAGCGUUAAGCAUUCCACCUGGGGAGUACGCCGGCAACGGUGCAACUCAAAGGAAUUGACGGA